rnacentral:rRNA from 1 species
AUUGAACGCUGGCGGCAGGCUUAACACAUGCAAGUCGAGCGAGCGGCGGACGGGUGAGUAAUGUCUGGGAAACUGCCUGAUGGAGGGGGAUAACUACUGGAAACGGUAGCUAAUACCGCAUCCCAUCAGAUGUGCCCAGAUGGGCUUAGCUAGUAGGUGGGGUAAUGGCUCACCUAGGCUGCGGUCCCUAGCUGGUCUGAGAGGAUGAACAGCAACACGUGAACUGAGACACGGUCCAGAAUCCUACGGGAGGCAGCAGUGGGGAAUAUUGCACAAUGGGCGCAAGCCAGAAGCAGCCAUGCCGCGUGUGUGAAGAAGGCCUUCGGGUUGUAAAGCACUUUCAGCGAGGAGGCGUUACUCGCAGAAGAAGCACCGGCUAACUCCGUGCCAGCAGCCGCGGUAAUAC